rnacentral:rRNA from 1 species
CCUACGGGAGACAGCAGUGAGGAAUAUUGGUCAAUGGGCGAGAGCCUGAACCAGCCAAGUCGCGUGAAGGAUGACGGCCCUACGGGUUGUAAACUUCUUUUGUCAGGGAGCAAUUGAGUCCACGUGUGGGCUUAGCGAUAGUACCUGAAGAAAAAGCAUGGGCUAACUCCGUGCCAGCAGCCGCGGUAAGGAGGAGGAUGCGAGCGUUAUCCGGCUGUAUUGGGUUAAAGGGGUGCGUAGGCGGAAUAUACAGUCAGCGGUAACAAUUCGGGUCUAAACCCCGUCGUGCCGUUGAAACUGGUGUUCUUGAGUGGGCGAGAGGUAUGCGGAAGGCGUGGUGUAGCGGUGAAAUGCAUAGAGAUCCCGCAGAACUCCGAUUGCGAAGGCAGCAUACCGGCGCCAAACUGACGCUGAAGCACGAAAGCGUGGGUAUCGAACAGGAUUAGAUACCCCUGUAGUC